GUUCUGUCUCCAGGCUAGUGGCUAAGUACUGAGGGCUUCAUCUAUCUAAAAUGAGUCAUUUCCAUCUGAAUGUGGCAGCACCGGGACACAGCAGCAGAGCGAGUCCACAUCCAGAAGACUGGAGCCGUGUUUCACUGACAGGCUGUCAGACUAAAGCCCUGAUGAGCUCAGCUGGGACAAACUGGUCUGAUGUUUAGGAACACAGAACGUUCAGAUGUUGGCGUUUCACGUCACCUACUGAGGAAGGAGACCCACCAGUAAAGAGACGGUCUGGACCAGACCAAAAAUAUGGCGAUGACAUCAUGGAACUGGUCUUUGGAAAAGUUUUCCCUGAACCAACUCCGUUUCUAGAUGAGGUAGAGAAGAUCUGCAUCUCACCAACCCUCUGGUCUCAGUAUUCAGACAACGGAGGUUUCCCACUGUUAUCCAGGACCAGUUUGAAGCCCACAUACAGCCCCUCCCUCAUCAUCAGGAAACAUCAAUCCGUAUCCUGAG